AAGACCUUGCGCUUUUGGAGCGGCCGAUGUCUGAUUAGCUUGUUGGUGAGGUAAAAGCUUACCAAGGCUUCGAUCAGUAGCUGGUCUGAGAGGACGACCAGCCACACUGGGACUGAGACACGGCCCAGACUCCUACGGGAGGCAGCAGUGGGGAAUUUUGGACAAUGGGGGCAACCCUGAUCCAGCCAUGCCGCGUGAGUGAAGAAGGCCUUCGGGUUGUAAAGCUCUUUCAGCCGGAACGAAACGGUUACGGUUAAUACCCGUGACUACUGACGGUACCGGAAGAAGAAGCACCGGCUAACUACGUGCCAGCAGCCGCGGUAAUACGUAGGGUGCGAGCGUUAAUCGGAAUUACUGGGCGUAAAGCGUGCGCAGGCGGUUUUGUAAGUCAGAUGUGAAAWCCCCGGGCUUAACCUGGGAACU
rnacentral:rRNA from 1 species